GCAUGGUCUUGUACAUACCCUCUCCUCGUUAAAGUGAAAAGCGUCGUUGCUGUGUCAUGAAGGAAUUAAUUAAUUUCCAUUUCUAUUAUGCCGGAUGGAUAUGGACCGCAUAAAAGAUAUUGCAAUUGAAUUGAGUUCCAUGUGUCAAUUUCAAACAUUUGAAUAUUUCUUUAUCAUUAAAUGUAACCGAUCAAGCUAAACUUUUGCUUCUCGCAGUCAAAACGACUGGUAUCAACUACUUC
rnacentral:lncRNA from 1 species